CAUACCACCCUGAAUGUGCUCAAUCUCCUCUGAUCUUGGAAGCUAAGUAUUCUUGGGCCUGGUUAGUACUUGGAUAGGAGAAAUUUCUUGAGACCCAGCU
ensembl:rRNA 5S_rRNA 5S ribosomal RNA